GAAGUUCAGCAUGGCCUUUCAAGUUGAGUAAAAAGGAAAGGACAAUGCCAUCAAUUGUUGGAACAUUUAGGUAAUGGCAAGUAGCUAAUGUACCGAUAAUUUUUCCUCCCAUGCUCAGGAUGAUCAUAAGGACAACUGCUAUGACAUUUCUGUAACUAUUCAGGUAUGUUAUAUUGAACUGGAAUCCUAUGUAUCCAAAGUAAAUUGGGAGAAUGAAGUUGUA
rnacentral:misc_RNA from 1 species